rnacentral:rRNA from 1 species
CCUACGGGAGGCAGCAGUGAGGAAUAUUGGUCAAUGGCCGUAAGGCUGAACCAGCCAAGUAGCGUGAGGGACGACUGCCCUAUGGGUUGUAAACUUCUUUUAUGCGGGGCUAUAGGUGUCCACUUUUGGCUGUUUGCAGGUACCGCCUGAAUAAGGUCCGCCUAAUUCCGUGCCAGCAGCCGCGGUAAUCCGGAAGGUCCGGGCGUUAUCCGGUUUUUUUGGGUUUAAAGGGAGUUUAGGCCGGUCUUUAAUCGUGCCGUGAAAUUUUGUGGCUAAACCAUGAGAGUGCGGUGCGAACUGGAGACCUUGAGUGCGCGGAAGGCAGGCGGAAUUCGUGGUGUAGCGG